rnacentral:rRNA from 1 species
GAUGAACGCUGGCGGCGUGCCUAAUACAUGCAAGUCGAGCGAACAGACGAGGAGCUUGCUCCCCUGACGUUAGCGGCGGACGGGUGAGUAACACGUGGAUAACCUACCUAUAAGACUGGGAUAACUUCGGGAAACCGGAGCUAAUACCGGAUAAUAUAUUGAACCGCAUGGUUCAAUAGUGAAAGACGGUUUUGCUGUCACUUAUAGAUGGAUCCGCGCCGCAUUAGCUAGUUGGUAAGGUAACAGCUUACCAAGGCAACGAUGCGUAGCCGACCUGAGAGGGUGAUCGGCAACACUGGAACUGAGACACGGUCCAGACUCCUACGGGAGGCAGCAGUAGGGAAUCUUCCGCAAUGGGCGAAAGCCUGACGGAGCAACGCCGCGUGAGUGAUGAAGGUCUUCGGAUCUUAAAACUCUGUUAUUAGGGAAGAACAAAUGUGUAAGUAACUAUGCACGUCUUGACGGUACCUAAUCAGAAAGCCACGGCUAACUACGUG